rnacentral:rRNA from 1 species
GGCUCAGAUUGAACGCUGGCGGCAUGCCUUACACAUGCAAGUCGAACGGCAGCACGGGAGCAAUCCUGGUGGCGAGUGGCGAACGGGUGAGUAAUAUAUCGGAACGUGCCCGGUCGUGGGGGAUAACGUAGCGAAAGCUACGCUAAUACCGCAUACGAUCUAAGGAUGAAANCGGGGGAUCGCAAGACCUCGCGCGAUUGGAGCGGCCGAUAUCAGAUUAGGUAGUUGGUGAGGUAAAGGCUCACCAAGCCAACGAUCUGUAGCUGGUCUGAGAGGACGACCAGCCACACUGGAACUGAGACACGGUCCAGACUCCUACGGGAGGCAGCAGUGGGGAAUUUUGGACAAUGGACGCAAGUCUGAUCCAGCCAUUCCGCGUGCAGGAUGAAGGCCCUCGGGUUGUAAACUGCUUUCGUACGGAACGAAAAGGUUUCUAUUAAUACUAGGAGCUCAUGACGGUACCGUAAGAAUAAGCACCGGCUAACUACGUG